rnacentral:rRNA from 1 species
UCGAACAGACCCAAACUUUUCAGCCUCUACACCAAAGUUCUAUUUUAAUCCAACAUCGAGGUCGCAAUCUCUUCUUUCGAUUUGAACUCUCAAAAAAAAUUACGCUGUUAUCCCUAAGGUAAUUUAAUCUUAUAAUCUUAAAUUAAGGAUCAAUUUAUCAUAUACCAAUGUAUAUAUAUAAAAAAAAGUUAUAUAAAUUUUUCAAUCACCCCAAUUAAAUUAAUCUUAUAAUAUAAAUUAUGAAUUACUAAAAACUUUUAUCAAUCAAUCAAUUAAACUCUAUAGGGUCUUCUCGUCUUUUAUUUAAAUUUAAGCUUUUUUACUUAAAAAUAAAAUUCUAAUAAAUUUAGACAGAGACAGCUUUUCCUUCAUUCAACCUUUCAUACUAGCUUUCAAUUAAAAAACUAAUGAUUAUGCUACCUUCGUACGGUCAAAGUACCGCAGCCAUUCAACUUCUCAUUGGGCAGGUCAGACCUUAAAUUAUAUUUCAAAAG